GGCCUUUUCACAGAUAUUGGCAUAUUUUGAAGUUUGUCAUUAAAUGCUUUAUAUUGAUAAAUGUUAACAUUGGAUCUUAAAAGCUCCAGUAAAAAAUCAAGAAUAAAAUUAAAAGAAUGAAAAAAAGUGGCCGGUACCAGGGCUCGAACCAGUGACUCCCGGAGUCCUGGAGUUAGUCUGAAGUAAAAACGCAUAAGCCCUCUCGGUUAUUCCGCCGGAUAUACACAGUUAAAGUAUUUUAUACCUUAUAUAAGCAAUCUUCAUAGUUUCGUAAAUUUAAACGACAACAACAGAACUCUCCAAAUUAUUCAAUCGUUUCGCGUUGCAACGCUUUAUAAUUUUUAGGUGUUCAAAUCGUCAAAAGAUACAUAUAAUGGCUUUAUUGGACUAUGGUAAAUGUUCAGUAAUACUGUUUUCUCACAAAUAUCAUAACUAAAACGAAAAUUUGCGAAUCUGAAACAACUUUCCGGCGAACAGGUUGUUGAUAGAGACCGACUCGCCAUACUUUCGACCAGCUCGGGCUCGGAUGUGCACUCCAUCCUUUUUAGGGGACGUUGCCAACGUUAUUGCGUCGUAUCGGGACAGCGAGGUCAGGGACGUGUGCCAGCUGACCUUGAGGAAUUCUACUCAACUGUUUGGGCUAGAAAUAGCAUGAAUGUUUAAUGUCAUUUGUUUGGCCAAUAAGCGAAUUUUCAAUAUGGAGUUUUAAUAUUUUAAUGUGUAGGACAAUUAUUUUAACGGAAAGGAAACACAACUGGAGUGUAUAGAGUGUAACUAAUUUAACAAUGAAUUGAAGUGAAAGUUUGGAAAGACUCCGUUGUUAAAUAUAGGUUUAAAGAAAAACUAUAUGCUGGGCUCAAUUUACCAAUCUAUUCUGUUCUAGUGGACAAUUACUGGAGCACAACAGAAUUGAAUACAAUAUAAAGUAUCGCCAGAGCCCGGAAUUUAAGUGUAGACCAAACUUUUGAUGAAGUAACAAGUUACAAAGUUGAAGACUGAAAAAGGACUCUAUGUCUCUUCCCCGUUGGAUAAAAUGGGGAGGAGUGUGGUGAAAUUUACUGGUGUGUAACCGGAACAGUCAGGCUGUGGAUAAUUGAUUGACCGGAAAGAAUCGACAGUCAUACUGCAGUCAUUCAACGACGGACGUCUACAUAUUGUCUACUUUAUAUCCAUUAUCAUCUCGUGUAUUUUGUGUCUACGUUCCUUGCCUGAGGGAUCCUGGAACAGAUACAUCUCUAUUUCUAGAUAUACAAGUAGCAGGUACACAUUUGAGAGUCCCAGUCGGGCAUGUUUACUUGAACAAUACAAGGUGCCAAAACCUCAUAAAAACUGAUUAAAAGAGAAUUUAGACCGGGUGGGUCUCACGUCUGGCCAGGGAUCCUCAACAUAAAUGGCGGAUGCAGUUGGUGUAAAGGACCAAAGCAAGAAACCAAUGGUAGUGCAAGUAAAGCCUACGUCUCCACCCCGCCCCGUUAAAAGGAGUAAAGGUAUGUUAAGGAAUGUAAUUUUAAAGGGAUCAGGAUCAUAAGGUCUACUCUGUGGGGAUCAUGGGUUCCGGAGCAGAGACAGUAGGUUUUCCGAUGGCAAGGUCAAUAGGCAAGUUCAUCUCCCGGCCGAACAUCAUCAUAGAUGGAGUGAAACCUGUGCUUGAGUGUAUGCUGGAGUUGUAAGCCAGUACCAGUAAAGGCAGGAGCUGUAUAAUAAGUUCCAGUGCAGUCCGGAGUCCGGAGGAAGCAUAAUUAACAUGAAGGUCCUUAAGUUCAGUGGAAACAAGCCACAGAAUCUCGUGGAGCUAAUCCAUUCACAUUAGCGCGCGUUAUGAAUAGAUGGCCAAUCUUUACAUAACAAGGACUGCACAUUGAACUUUAAAUGAAUGUACGAAUAAAAGCAAAGUACUGUGGUGUUGUCACUAUGAAAACAAUAUAGGUAUUAUGGUUCAUAGCAAUCAUAUACGGAAACCUGGACAACUCUUGUAAUAAUCGACCAAGAUGAUACUGUAACGUCAUAUAUUUACAUACGUCAUAUAUUAAGUGACGAAAUCGUUACAUAAUCUAAAAGUGCAGUUAUUGCAAAUGAUUAUGCAAAUUGUGUUUGAAGUAGACGACUGUCGAAAUAACCCGACUUUGUUCUAAAUCCUGUGAUUAAUAUUAUUAGAAUUAUCAUGAGGAAUAAUUGGAUCAAUAAACGCAUUCUCUUUUGAAAGGCAUGUGUUAUCUCUGGCAACGAGAAAGGAACUUCUUAAAAUGAUAACUGGUUUAUUGUUAUAGGUAGUGUUCUAAAGCAUCCGGAUCAGGCUAACGUUUAAGGUUUGUCAUAUUACAUAUAUUCAAUUGAUUGUCCGGAGCAAUAAUGUCUUUCUCCGUAUUAAAUUUUUGCUCCGGUCGGAGGAGUAUUGAUGGAUUCAUUGAUCCGGAUUGGGACCUGCUCCAGACAGCGUUUGCUAUGACGUCAUAAUUUACCAUCCGGAGUGAACUGAUAUACGUCAUCAUGUACAUUCAUACGGAGCUAUCCGGCGAGGACUAAACAUUUGUUGAAUUUUAUGAACAAUAUAUUUUUAGUAAAUCGGGAGCGGGAAAUCUGCAUUACACUGGUUUGAAAAUGAUACAAUCGUCAUUCUUAUUUCUAUAUAUAUUUUUUUAUUAUUAUAUUAAUUGAUCCCAGCACUUCUGACACCAGUUGUUCCGCCGCCGGCCACCCCUGCCGUGGUGGUACGGUAACGGGACAAGGUUCCAGGCAUAUACACGCAGGUCCGUUGUUGCACAAUAACGAUAUUUAAUAUUUGUAUGACGAAGUCCGAGUU